GCCCCAGAGCCUUUCUCUCUCUUCUUAUUGGUUGUGCUGAAACCAGAUUUCAGCAAGAAAGUUUUUAAAGAGACCCUUGUCCUACUUCUGUUCUCAAGGUGUUGAGAAUAAUCAUCCAUCAAGCAAUGGUUCUGCAAGGAAACUAGCACCCCAGAGAACCAGAAGGUCGCUGAUCUAUCUUCAACUCUGUGUGGAUAUUCAUAAAGGUCAGGUACUUGUGUGGCU
rnacentral:lncRNA from 1 species